AUACGGAGGAUGCAAGCGUUAUCCGGAUUUAUUGGGUUUAAAGGGUGCGUAGGCGGUUUGCUAAGCGGGAGGUGAAAUGCCGGCGCUCAACGUCGGAAGUGCCUCCCGAACUGGUGGACUUGAAUGACUCUGCCGUGGGAGGAAUGUGUAGUGUAGCGGUGAAAUGCUUAGAGAUUACACAGAACACCGAUUGCGAAGGCAUCUCACGAAGGGUUGAUUGACGCGGAGGCACGAAAGCGUGGGGAUCAAACAGGAUUAGAUACCCUGGUAGUCCACGCAGUAAACGAUGAUGGCUAACCGCUGGGCUUAUCAGUUCAGUGGCCAAGCGAAAGCGAUAAGCCAUCCACCUGGGGAGUACGACCGCAAGGUUGAAACUCAAAUGAAUUGACGGGG
rnacentral:rRNA from 1 species